GACGAACCGUGCGAACGUUGUUCGGAAUCACUGGGCUUAAAGGGCGCGUAGGCGGGCUAUCAAGUCCGGGGUGAAAUCCUCCCGCUCAACGGGAGAACUGCCUCGGAUACUGAUGGUCUCGAGGGGGAUAGGGGCACACGGAACUGUGGGUGGAGCGGUGAAAUGCGUUGAUAUCCAUAGGAACUCCGGUGGCGAAAGCGGUGUGCUGGAUCCCUUCUGACGCUGAGGCGCGAAAGCCAGGGGAGCGAACGGGG
rnacentral:rRNA from 1 species